ACGGAGGGUGCAAGCGUUAUCCGGAAUCACUGGGUUUAAAGGGUGCGUAGGCGGCGUUAUAAGUCAGAGGUGAAAGGCCACCGCUUAACGGUGGGACUGCCUUUGAUACUGUAGUGCUUGAAUAAGGUUGAGGUUAGCGGAAUGUGACAUGUAGCGGUGAAAUGCAUAGAUAUGUCAUAGAACACCAAUUGCGAAGGCAGCUGGCUAGACCUUUAUUGACGCUGAGGCACGAAAGCGUGGGGAGCGAACAGGAUUAGAUACCCUGGUAGUCCACGCCCUAAACGAUGCUUACUCGAUGUUUGGGUUUCGGCCUGAGCAUCCAAGGGAAACCAUUAAGUAAGCCACCUGGGGAGUACGUUCGCAAGAAUG
rnacentral:rRNA from 1 species